rnacentral:rRNA from 1 species
AGUGAACGCUGGCGGCGUGCCUAAUACAUGCAAGUCGAACGGAAUUUAAAAGAGCUUGCUCUUUUAAAUUUAGUGGCGCACGGGUGAGUAAUAUAUAGCUAAUCUGCCCCUUGCUGGAGGACAACAGUUAGAAAUGACUGCUAAUACUCCAUACUCCUUUUUACCAUAAGAUAAAUCGGGAAAGAAUUUCGGCAAGGGAUGAGACUAUAUCGUAUCAGCUAGUCGGUGGGGCAACGGCCUACCGAGGCUAUGACGCGUAACUGGUCUGAGAGGAUGAUCAGUCACAUUGGAACUGAGACACGGUCCAAACUCCUACGGGAGGCAGCAGUAGGGAAUAUUGCGCAAUGGGGGAAACCCUGACGCAGCAACGCCGCGUGGAGGAUGACACUUUUCGGAGCGUAAACUCCUUUUGUUAGGGAAGAAUAAGACGGUACCU